rnacentral:rRNA from 1 species
GACGAACGCUGGCGGCGUGCCUAAUACCUGCAAGUUGAGCGCUGAAGGUUGGUACUUGUACCGACUGGAAGAGCAGCGACCGGGUGAGUAACGCGUGGGGAAUCUGCCUUUGAGCGGGGGACAACAUUUGGAAACGAAUGCUAAUACCGCAUAAAAACUUUAAACACAAGUUUUAAGUUUGACUGAUGCAAUUGCAUCACUCAAAGAUGAACCCGCGCUGUAUUAGCUAGUUGGUGAGGUAAAGGCUAACCAAGGCGAUGAUACAUAGCCGACCUGAGAGGGUGAUCGGCCACAUUGGGGCUGAGACACGGCCCAAACUCCUACGGGAGGCAGCAGUAGGGAAUCUUCGGCAAUGGACGAAAGUCUGACCGAGCAACGCCGCGUGAGUGAAGAAGGUUUUCGGAUCGUAAAACUCUGUUGGUAGAGAAGAACGUUGGUGAGAGUGGAAAGCUCAUCAAGUGACGGUAACUACCCAGAAAGGGACGUCUAACUACGUGCCAGCAGCCGCCGUAA